rnacentral:rRNA from 1 species
GACAGAGGCCUCGAGCGUUAGGCGGAAUCACUGGGCUUAAAGCGUGUGUAGGCGGAUCGUUAAGUACCUUGUGAAAUCCCACGGCUCAACCGUGGAACGGCUGGGUAUACUGGCGGUCUUGGGCCAUUCAGGGGCGACUGGAACAAGCGGUGGAGCGGUGAAAUGCGCAGAUAUCAGGAGGAACACCGGUGGCGAAGGCGGAUCUCUGGGCCUGUCCUGACGCUGAGGCGCGAAAGCUAGGGGAGCGAACAGG